AUGCCAUCAGAGCAGGGGAGAUGCCAUGAUCCCGAAGGUGGUUUUCCCAGCGCGAGGCUUAGCCAUUGCACUCCGGAUGUGCUGACCCCUGCGAUUUCCCCAAAUGUGGGAAACUUGAGUGCUUUAUUUGUGGUAGUGGGGAACUGUGUUUGUGCUUUCUCCUG
ensembl:snRNA U1 U1 spliceosomal RNA